rnacentral:rRNA from 1 species
AGCAGCCGCGGUAAUUCCAGCUCCAAUAGCGUAUAUUAAUGUUGCUGCAGUUAAAAAGCUCGUAGUUGGAUUUCUGACUUGGUGCACCUGGCCCGCCACGGUUACGUGUGUGAGUGCCGGGAUGCGCCUGUCACUUUUCUAGUAAACUAUUAUGCUCUUCAUUGAGUGUGAUAGGUAGCUAGAUAUUUUACUUUGAAAAAAU